rnacentral:rRNA from 1 species
UACGUAGGGCGCAAGCGUUGUUCGGAUUUACUGGGCGUAAAGGGCGCGUAGGCGGCCACCGCAAGUCGGUUGUGAAAUCUCCGGGCUUAACCCGGAAAGGUCAAUCGAUACUGCGGGGCUAGAGUGCAGAAGGGCAACUGGAAUUCUCGGUGUAGCGGUGAAAUGCGUAGAUAUCAGGAGGAACACCGGUGGCGAAGGCGGCUCUCUGGACGGUGACUGACGCUGAGACGCGAAAGCGUGGGGAGCAAACAGG